rnacentral:rRNA from 1 species
GUCUAGAGCCAUGCCACCCUGAAUAAGCCUGAUCUCAGCUGAUCUCGGAAGCUAAACAAGGUCCAGCCUGGUUAGUACUUGGAUGGGAGACCACCUAGGAAGACCAGGUGCUGUAGGCG